GUAUUUCAGGGGCAGGAUGGAGGUAUCCAAAAGUCAAAGGAUGCAGACAAACCCUUGCCUAUUUCAAAAUUUCCCUUAACCAAAAGGGAUUUGGUUAAGGUGUCAGGCAGAAGGCAGGGCAGGGUGGCAUCUUGGAGUCUACCUGGUUUAGAGGCAUGAGUUUUUGUAGGCGACAACCUACUUUGCUAUGAUCCAAUGAAGUAGGUCAUUGCCUAAAAAUGCUCAGGUCUCCCUCAACCAGUCGGUCUCUAAGGUGUCCUUCCUUUUGUCUGACUUCAGACUAACAUGGUUAACUACCUCUCCACCAAGGUGCCAGAAAAUACCAGUGAAUGUUACAAGCAGAAAAGGGUACGAGACCAUUGACUACUGGCUGACUGCACUGACAACUCGGCGUUAAAAAUAUAAAUGAGCCUCAUUUGCUAUCCAGAGAGAAGAGGUUCAUUUCCAACCCUAUGCUGCGAUGGCCAUAAGGUUCAGGGUAGUUUAUUUCAUUGACAUGAGUUUCCCAGCAACAUUCGCUGAGUGUGAUCACAAUACCGACCCACUGUGACAUCAUGGGACCCAGGGCUUUAAGUAGCAGGAAACCUCCACAGGCCUCUUCACAAGCUCAGGCACCAUCCGAGCAGACAGGUUUGCUUGGCCUGACCAAGCCAUAAAAUUGCUUCUCCUGGGGUCCUGAAGCCACCAAAGAGAAGCAGUGAUGGCGAGAUGUGGAAGACAGCACCUCCGCCACUCCAGAAGCUAUGGGCCCUCGAAGAGGAGACAGAGGAGGAGAAGAAGAUGCAGCUGGAAAAGGGCACCACUAAAGAAGAAGAGGGGUUAUGUUCGUGUUAUGACCACCUAUUACUACUGGCCGAACUGAUACAUGUUACCUGCCCUCCAGCCUGUCUUCCAAAGUUCAUCUCAUUGGCAGCCCAUUAGCCAUCAAGUCAUCCACUUCUUGAGAAAGGCAACCAUGACCAUCACUUAAGACACCAAAAAAACCACCCAGCCUAGUGACUUCCCCAAGACCCAGGAAGACUCCUAUCAUAGGAGAAAAUGCAUCAACCUGUCAGUAAACUUGUAAAAGGCA